CCCAGCGCCAGAGCCAGCCUUGUCAGCUCCUCUGACGGCUCCUUCCUUGCGGACGCCCACUUUGCCCGGGCCCUGGCAAUGGCUGUGGACAGCUUUGGCUUUGGUCUGGAGCCCAGGGAGGCCGACUGCGUCUUCAUGGGUAUGUGAGACCACCCUGCCUUUCUCCUCACCCCACCCCUUGGAAUGAACUCAGAUCCCAUAAGAACCCCUCCCUCCUUUUCCCCAACCAAGAGGCAGGGCUUCCUAAUCAUUGUCUUUGUUUUUUUUUUUUUUUUAAGUUUGUUUCUUUAUUUUGAGAGAGAGAGAGAGAGAGCCCUCAUGAGCAGGGGGAGGGGCAGAGAGAAAGGGAGAGAAAGAAGUCCAAGCAGGCUCAGUGCUGUCAGCACAGAGCCUGAUGUGGGGCUCGAUCUAACGACCGUGAGACCACGACUUGAGCCGAAAUUAAGAGGUGGACGCUAAACCGACUGAGCCACCCAGGCGCCCCCCAAUCAUUGUCUUUGUGGUUAUCCUUAAAACAGCCAGCUUUUUAUUUUAUUACUAUGCCCCAGGCCCUGUGAUAAGUGCUUCAUAUACAUUCAAUAUUAAAACUCUAUGAAAAAUAUUCUUUAUCUUUCUCUUCCAAAUGAGGGAACUGUAAGUCAAACAGGUUUUUUAACUUGCCCAAGGUUGCCCACAAGAACAAGGACAAAAUGUUCAAGUCUAAAGCCCAGAGGCAGCCAGUUGUAUUGCCCUCCCCCCAGGUCCCUCGUCUUACCCAGACACCGAUCACCAGGAAAGAUUGCUCCCCACCUCUUCUAUUUACUAUUUACUCCAACCCCCUGUUCCAGAUUCUCCUCAUGAUGGGAACUUCUGUUUUCUCUCUUAUUUCCCACUGUGCUUGCAAGCCCUCCUCUUGUCCUGUCUGUGGCUGGGGUAAAGAGAAGAUGGGCUCACUCCUUCACAUGUCUACCAGAGUGGGACCAUUAUCUCCAAGGCAACAGAAGGUAGCUCAGGGCUCCCCAUGCCCCUUCCUCAUACACUCUGUCAGAUCCCCUAUCGCCAUCUUAUGAACCCCAAUAAAAACAACCAGGCUUGUAGUAAACAGGAAAGCAAGGAUUAUCCAGGGUAGAAGCGCCCACAACAGAGGGAGAAGAAAGGUGCCCGGGGAGAGGAAGGGUGAAGGGAAAGAGUAUGGAUAGAGGGCCAGAGCUGGGGGGCACCUGGGUGGUUCAGUUAAGUGUCUGACUCUUGGUUUUGGCUCUGGUCGUGAUCUCAUGGUUUCCACACCAACAGUGUGGAGCCUGCUUGGGAUUCUGUCUCCCUCUCCCUCUGCCCCUCCCCCCACUCACACUGCCUGUCUCUCUCAAAAUAAAUAAAUAAAUAAAUAAAAAGAAGGCCAGAGGUGGGCUAGGAGGAAACAGUUCAAGCUAUUUUCCCUAAGAAACCAAUGGACUCAUUCCAGUGGCCCCCAGAAUUGAUGGGCCGAGUUGGGGCUAGGUUAUCUUCUGGGUUGGAUGUAUGCCUUAAGCAGGUCCUAAGUGUUCUGCCCUAAACUGGUCCCUCAGAGUGAAGACCAACCCUCCACAAACAAAUCUACCCUCCCUGACAGAUGCCUCCUCACCUCCCUCCCCGCGGGAUGACCUCUUCCUGACCUCCACCCUCUCCCUGCCCCUGUGGGAGUGGAGGUCAGACUGGUUGGAGGACAUGGAGAACAACCACAGCCAGCGGCUGGGAAGGGGGCUGCCUCCCUGGCCCCCCGACUCUCGGAUCUCUUCCGGAAGAAGUCAGCUCAGCCGUCCUGAGCCCAAGGCCGGCAGUAAGUGCCUGUCUGCCAUACUCUUGAUGGAGGGAUUCUGGGGAGGAGCGAAGACGGAACCCCUGGGGUUGGAGAGGUGAGAUUAAGGAGGGUAACUCCAUUCUCCUUCAACUUCCCUGCAGGCUCCUCAUGAAGUGUACCUGAGACAGGAGACGGCCAAGAGGAGAAUCAAAACCACCCCGCUGAGGAGUGUCAGUCUUGGCCUGUAUUCUCUGCAGCUGGGGGACCACCUUGCCUCGCCACCAGGACAGUUCUCCUUCCGGGAUUGUGAGAACAAAUGAAAGCAAAACAAAAUAAGAGCAAAGCAGACCUGGAGCCCCCAGUGAGCAAAAAGUCAUCUCGGUCUGACUCCUACCCCUUGCUCUCUCCUCUGCUCCAUCCAUCCCAAACCGGGUCUUGUGGCGUGAGAAGCAGGCUUAUCUCCUGAUCUCCCCACCCCCCCACUUGCAUCACCAGAAGUGGAAGAACCAGAGAUCUUCCCAGACGACAACAGCAUCUUGUGGGACAGGCUGGUUAGGGAAGGAGCUUUAUGGAGCCAUGCCCCUCAGGAAGGGACCUUUCCUACGUAGGCAGGCUCACUUCUCCCCAGCCACACCCGUAAAGGAAGGAUGGAGGAACACCCAGUGAGGACCAGCCUUGUUUCCAAGGCAGAGGGUCCAGAAUGGACCUAGGGAGGGAGCCAAAGGAAGGGUGGUGGGAAAAUGUGGGGCCAACACCCUCUUCAUACUGUGGACUCUAUGAGCUUAAGAAAUUGAUACCAUUAAACUGAAAUGACUUGAGUUUGUUGAGAUCAUCCCCCAGAGCACCAUUCUGGGGAAGGUACCUGGAGGUAUGGGAAGAAUUCUCUCAGUAGGGGCGGAACUGAGCAUUCGUUGGC
rnacentral:lncRNA from 1 species